rnacentral:misc_RNA from 1 species
UUAAGUUCAGCGGGUAUCCCUACCUGAUCCGAGGUCAACCAGAAAAAAUUGAGGUUGCUGGCUAGCGACCACCAGGGCCCAGCAGCGAGAGAUAUUACUACACUGAGGGAACCGAUGGUGCCGCCACUACGUUUGAGGCCUGCCGUCGCCGGCGUGGCCCAAGACCAAGCAGUGCUUGAGGGUUGAAAUGACGCUCGAAC